UUAAAUUGAAGAGUUUGAUCAUGGCUCAGAUUGAACGCUGGCGGCAGGCCUAACACAUGCAAGUCGAACGGUAACAGGAAACAGCUUGCUGUUUCGCUGACGAGUGGCGGACGGGUGAGUAAUGUCUGGGAAACUGCCUGAUGGAGGGGGAUAACUACUGGAAACGGUAGCUAAUACCGCAUAACGUCGCAAGACCAAAGAGGGGGACCUUCGGGCCUCUUGCCAUCGGAUGUGCCAGAUGGGAUUAGCUAGUAGGUGGGGUAACGGCUCACCUAGGCGACGAUCCCUAGCUGGUCUGAGAGGAUGACCAGCACACUGGAACUGAGACACGGUCCAGACUCCUACGGGAGGCAGCAGUGGGGAAUAU
rnacentral:rRNA from 1 species